CCUACGGGGGGCUGCAGUGGGGAAUAUUGGACAAUGGGGGCAACCCUGAUCCAGCCAUGCCGCGUGUGUGAAGAAGGCCCUCGGGUUGUAAAGCACUUUCAGUGAGGAAGAACGCCUGGUGGUUAAUACCCAUCAGGUAAGACAUCACUCACAGAAGAAGCACCGGCUAACUCCGUGCCAGCAGCCGCGGUAAUACGGAGGGUGCGAGCGUUAAUCGGAAUUACUGGGCGUAAAGCGCGCGUAGGUGGCUUGAUAAGCCGGUUGUGAAAGCCCCGGGCUCAACCUGGGAACGGCAUCCGGAACUGUCAAGCUAGAGUGCAGGAGAGGAAGGUAGAAUUCCCGGUGUAGCGGUGAAAUGCGUAGAGAUCGGGAGGAAUACCAGUGGCGAAGGCGGCCUUCUGGACUGACACUGACACUGAGGUGCGAAAGCGUGGGUAGCAAACAGGAUUAGAUACCCCGGUAGUC
rnacentral:rRNA from 1 species